rnacentral:tRNA from 1 species
UGCUCGGUAGUAUAGUGGUUAGUAUUCCCGCCUGUCACGCGGGCGGCCGGGGUUCGAUUCCCCGCCGAGGAG